rnacentral:rRNA from 1 species
UCCGUAGGUGAACCUGCGGAAGGAUCAUUACCGAGUGUAGGGUUCCUAGCGAGCCCAACCUCCCACCCGUGUUUACUGUACCUUAGUUGCUUCGGCGGGCCCGCCAUUCGUGGCCGCCGGGGGCUCUCAGCCCCGGGCCCGCGCCCGCCGGAGACACCACGAACUCUGUCUGAUCUAGUGAAGUCUGAGUUGAUUGUAUCGCAAUCAGUUAAAACUUUCAACAAUGGAUCUCUUGGUUCCGGCAUCGAUGAAGAACGCAGCGAAAUGCGAUAACUAGUGUGAAUUGCAGAAUUCCGUGAAUCAUCGAGUCUUUGAACGCACAUUGCGCCCCCUGGUAUUCCGGGGGGCAUGCCUGUCCGAGCGUCAUUGCUGCCCAUCAAGCACGGCUUGUGUGUUGGGUCGUCGUCCCCUCUCCGGGGGGGACGGGCCCCAAAGGCAGCGGCGGCACCGCGUCCGAUCCUCGAGCGUAUGGGGCUUUGUCACCCGCUCUGUAGGCCCGGCCGGCGCUUGCCGAACGCAAAUCAA